GACGAACGCUGGCGGCGUGCUUAACACAUGCAAGUCGAACGGAAAGGCCCUGCUUUUGUGGGGUGCUCGAGUGGCGAACGGGUGAGUAACACGUGAGUAACCUGCCCUUGACUUUGGGAUAACUUCAGGAAACUGGGGCUCAUACCGGAUAGGAGCUCCUGCUGCAUGGUGGGGGUUGGAAAGUUUCGGCGGUUGGGGCUGGACUCGCGGCUUAUCAGCUUGAUGGUGGGGUAGUGGCUUACCAAGGCUUUGACGGGUAGCCGGCCUGAGAGGGUGACCGGCCACAUUGGGACUGAGAUACGGACCAGACUCCUACGGGAGGCAGCAGUGGGGAAUAUUGCACAAUGGGCGGAAGCCUGAUGCAGCAACGCCGCGUGCGGGAUGACGGCCUUCGGGUUGUAAACCGCUUUCGCCUGUGACGAAGCGUGAGUGACGGUAAUGGGUAAAGAAGCACCGGCUAACUACGUG
rnacentral:rRNA from 1 species